UCUAAUCUGAUUCGAGAAGCUGUUUUCGAGUCUGCCUGCACACUCAGGCGCAGUGGUAACUUAGCAAGUAACUCUGGGUAGGAGAGUGGUGUGCCUGGUCAUUACAUUGUCAUAACGUUACAAACUUCAGUCAGAUGUCCCACACGGGGACCAUAUGAAACAAAGUAAGCUCCUGGUUACUCGUCAAGGAUGAAACUCGCAGUCGUCUUCCUUUUGGGUUUACUCAUUUCCAUGGUGAUGUUUGAGGGAGCCAUGUCCCACCGCCGCUGUCGUCGACACAGACGUCACCGUCAUUCCAGCAGCCCAAGUUACAGUCAUCACCAUCAUCGCCAUGGUCACCAUCACCAUGGACACCACGGUCAUCAUCAUGGUCACCAUGGACAUCAUCAUCAUCAUCAUGGAAAAUAGCAAUGGGUGGUUCUGACAUCUUGCCAAGUGUACAGUGUACCUUGACUGUCUACAGCCAAUAAAUAUAUUAAAACAUGUU